CCUACGGGAGGCAGCAGUAGGGAAUAUUGGUCAAUGGGUGAGAGCCUGAACCAGCCAUGCCGCGUGCAGGAAGACGGCCUUCUGGGUUGUAAACUGCUUUUAUCUGGGGAUAAAAAGCCCAUGCGUGGGGACAUUGACGGUACCAGAUGAAUAAGCACCGGCUAACUACGUGCCAGCAGCCGCGGUAAUACGUAGGGUGCAAGCGUUGUCCGGAAUUUAUUGGUUUAAAGGGUGCGUAGGCGGUCUAUUAAGUCAGGUGGUGAAAUCCAACAGCUCAACUGUUGAUGUGCCAAUGAUACUGAUGGACUUGAGUACAGACGAGGUAGGCGGAAUUGACAGUGUAGCGGUGAAAUGCAUAGAUAUUGUCAAGAACACCGAUAGCGAAGGCAGCUUGCUAGCCUGUAACUGACGCUGAGGCACGAAGGUAUGGGGAUCAAACAGGAUUAGAUACCCUGGUAGUCCAUGCAGUAAACGAUGAUUACUCGAUGUUGGCGAUACACAGUCAGCGUCUUAGCGAAAGCGAUAAGUAAUCCACCUGGGGAGUACGCUGGCAACAGUGAAACUCAAAGGAAUUGACGG
rnacentral:rRNA from 1 species